rnacentral:rRNA from 1 species
CGUAGGGUGCAAGCGUUAAUCGGAAUUACUGGGCGUAAAGCGUACGCAGGCGGCUUUGCAAGACAGGUGUGAAAUCCCCGGGCCUAACCUGGGAACUGCAUUUGUGACUGCAUGGCUAGAGUUUGUCAGAGGGGGGUGGAAUUCCACGUGUAGCAGUGAAAUGCGUAGAGAUGUGGAAGAACACCGAUGGCGAAGGCAGCCCCCUGGGAUGUGACUGACGCUCAUGUACGAAAGCGUGGGGAGCAAACAGGAUUAGAUACCCUGGUAGUCCACGCCCUAAACGAUGUCUACUAGUUGUCGGAGGGUAACUCCUUCGGUAACGCAGCUAACGCGUGAAGUAGACCGCCUGGGGAGUACGGUCGCAAGAUUA